GACGAACGCUGGCGGCGUGCUUAACACAUGCCAGUCGAACGGAAAGGCCCUGCUUGCAGGGUACUCGAGUGGCGAACGGGUGAGUAACACGUGGGUGAUCUGCCCUGCACUUCGGGAUAAGCCUGGGAAACUGGGUCUAAUACCGGAUAGGAGCCAUUUUUAGUGCGAUGGUUGGAAAGUUUUUUCGGUGUAGGAUGAGCUCGCGGCCUAUCAGCUUGUUGGUGGGGUAAUGGCCUACCAAGGCGGCGACGGGUAGCCGGCCUGAGAGGGUGGACGGCCACAUUGGGACUGAGAUACGGCCCAGACUCCUACGGGAGGCAGCAGUGGGGAAUAUUGCACAAUGGGCGCAAGCCUGAUGCAGCGACGCCGCGUGGGGGAUGACGGCCUUCGGGUUGUAAACUCCUUUCGCUAGGGACGAAGCUUUUUGUGACGGUACCUAGAUAAGAAGCACCGGCUAACUACGUG
rnacentral:rRNA from 1 species